rnacentral:snRNA from 1 species
CCCAGGAGGUCACCCAUCCUA